AGUGAACGCUGGCGGUAGGCCUAACACAUGCAAGUCGAACGGCAGCACAGAGGAGCUUGCUCCUUGGGUGGCGAGUGGCGGACGGGUGAGGAAUACAUCGGAAUCUACUCUGUCGUGGGGGAUAACGUAGGGAAACUUACGCUAAUACCGCAUACGACCUACGGGUGAAAGCAGGGGAUCUUCGGACCUUGCGCGAUUGAAUGAGCCGAUGUCGGAUUAGCUAGUUGGCGGGGUAAAGGCCCACCAAGGCGACGAUCCGUAGCUGGUCUGAGAGAAGGAUCAGGCACAGUGGGACUGAGACACGGUCCAGGCUCCUACGGGAGGCAGCAGUGGGGAAUAUUGGGCAAUGGGCGCAAGCCUGAUCCAGCCAUACCGCGUGGGUGAAGAAGGCCUUCGGGUUGUAAAGCCCUUUUGUUGGGAAAGAAAUCCAUCUGGUUAAUACCCGGGUGGGAUGACGGUACCCAAAGAAUAAGCACCGGCUAACUUCGUGCCAGCAGCCGCGGUAA
rnacentral:rRNA from 1 species